rnacentral:lncRNA from 1 species
GUUGUUUGCGAUGAUCUUCUUCAUUCCUAAUUUGAUUCUUUCAGGGAUGCAAGAAAGCAUAAAAAUAAUGAAACCAAAAGAUGACAGCAUGUGAAUCUACUACAUUCUUGAAGACAGAAGCAGAACAUUAAUCACUUUUCACAAUUAACAAACUCACUGCUGCAUUGCAGGCCACUCACCUGAUAAUCUCAACAUCUACAUGGAUACUUUUUUUGCUGAUGAGCUAAGAAAAUAUCUGGGCAGUCCAGGUUUUUGGGAGGUCUGUUUUCCUGUCCUUGCUGAAGCUGACACACUGCUCGAGUUUAGGGACGAUGGAUACUGUGAGAGCACCAGUGCUUCAAGGGGCACUUCGGUCAUCUGGGAAAUAAAGUCUUUGAGUUCUAGCCUGUCUUGUGAACUCACUGGGAUUUUUCACAAGUCACUUCAGUGGGAGCGGGAUUGGUUUGGUAAGUAACCUUGGUUACUUUCAUGUUUAUAUACUC